GACGUAGGGCGCGAGCGUUGUCCGGAUUUAUUGGGCGUAAAGAGCUCGUAGGCGGCUUGUCGCGUCGACUGUGAAAUCCCGCGGCUCAACUGCGGGUCUGCAGUCGAUACGGGCAGGCUAGAGUUCGGUAGGGGAGACUGGAAUUCCUGGUGUAGCGGUGAAAUGCGCAGAUAUCAGGAGGAACACCGGUGGCGAAGGCGGGUCUCUGGGACGGUACUGACGCUGAGACGCGAAAGCGUGGGGAGCGAACAGG
rnacentral:rRNA from 1 species